GGGCACUUCUGCCAGGCCCCUUUGAAGGCCAUCAAAAGGUCCCCAGUGGCCUCUGGAGCACACCCAGCGUGCACAUGAGGGUGAGAAGGACAAAGGAGUGAGUGACUAUUGAACUGCUGACCCUCUGACCACUAUGCUAUUUUUCUUGUAGUUUUAGAGAAAAUGAACACCAAGACAGGGAUCCUGAAUAACACAGAAAUGAAUCUUGAUCUUUUAUUCUAAAGGACAUUCCAGGUAAUUUUUUUCAAUGUCCUUAUUUUUUCUUUAAAGUGUGUGAAGUUUUCCAGUUUUAAUUCUUCAUUGUGUAUCAAUGGCU
rnacentral:lncRNA from 1 species